rnacentral:rRNA from 1 species
UACGAAGGGGGCAAGCGUUGUUCGGAAUUACUGGGCGUAAAGGGCGCGUAGGCGGCUUAUCAAGUCAGGCGUGAAAUUCCCGGGCUCAACCUGGGGGCUGCGCUUGAUACUGAUGAGCUUGAAUGCGGGAGAGGAUAGUGGAAUUCCCAGUGUAGAGGUGAAAUUCGUAGAUAUUGGGAAGAACACCGGUGGCGAAGGCGGCUAUCUGGCCCGUGAUUGACGCUGAGCCGCUCAAGCGUGGGGAGCAAACAUG